GACGAACGCUGGCGGCGUGCUUAACACAUGCAAGUCGAACGGAAAGGCCCUGCUUUUGUGGGGUGCUCGAGUGGCGAACGGGUGAGUAACACGUGAGUAACCUGCCCUUGACUUUGGGAUAACUUCAGGAAACUGGGGCUAAUACCGGAUAGGAGCCCCUGCUGCAUGGUGGGGGUUGGAAAGUUUCGGCGGUUGGGGAUGGACUCGCGGCUUAUCAGCUUGUUGGUGGGGUAGUGGCUUACCAAGGCUUUGACGGGUAGCCGGCCUGAGAGGGUGACCGGCCACAUUGGGACUGAGAUACGGCCCAGACUCCUACGGGAGGCAGCAGUGGGGAAUAUUGCACAAUGGGCGGAAGCCUGAUGCAGAAACGCCGCGUGCGGGAUGACGGCCUUCGGGUUGUAAACCGCUUUCGCCUGUGACGAAGCGUGAGUGACGGUAAUGGGUAAAGAAGCACCGGCUAACUACGUG
rnacentral:rRNA from 1 species